rnacentral:rRNA from 1 species
GUGAGGAAUAUUGGUCAAUGGACGGAAGUCUGAACCAGCCAUGCCGCGUGCAGGAAUAAGGUCCUAUGGAUUGUAAACUGCUUUUAUUCGGGAAUAAACCUCUUUACGUGUAGGGAGCUGAAGGUACCGAAGGAAUAAGCACCGGCUAACUCCGUGCCAGCAGCCGCGGUAAUACGGAGGGUGCAAGCGUUAUCCGGAAUCACUGGGUUUAAAGGGUACGUAGGCGGUUAAUUAAGUCGGUAGUGAAAGACUGUCGCUCAACGACGGAUGUGCUAUUGAUACUGGUUAACUUGAAUCAGGUUAGAGUUGGCGGAAUGGGUCAUGUAGCGGUGAAAUGCUUAGAUAUGACUUGGAACACCGAUAGCGAAGGCAGCUGACUGAGCCUUGAUUGACGCUGAGGUACGAAAGUGUGGGUAGCGAACAGGAUUAGAUACCCGAGUAGUCC